GCGAACGCUGGCGGCAGGCUUAACACAUGCAAGUCGAGCGGGCCCUUCGGGGUCAGCGGCAGACGGGUGAGUAACACGUGGGAACGUACCCUUUGGUUCGGAAUAACGCUGGGAAACUAGCGCUAAUACCGGAUACGCCCUUUUGGGGAAAGGCUUGCUGCCGAAGGAUCGGCCCGCGUCUGAUUAGCUAGUUGGUGGGGUAAUAGCCUACCAAGGCGACGAUCAGUAGCUGGCCUGAGAGGAUGAUCAGCCACACUGGGACUGAGACACGGCCCAGACUCCUACGGGAGGCAGCAGUGGGGAAUAUUGGACAAUGGGCGCAAGCCUGAUCCAGCCAUGCCGCGUGAGUGAUGAAGGCCUUAGGGUUGUAAAGCUCUUUUGUCCGGGACGAUAAUGACGGUACCGGAAGAAUAAGCCCCGGCUAACUUCGUG
rnacentral:rRNA from 1 species